rnacentral:piRNA from 1 species
UAGUUCAAUGUCUAUUCCGAAAUGUGCU